AGAGUUUGAUCCUGGCUCAGAUUGAACGCUGGCGGCAUGCUUUACACAUGCAAGUCGAACGGUAACAGGCCGCAAGGUGCUGACGAGUGGCGAACGGGUGAGUAAUGUAUCGGAACGUGCCCAGUCGUGGGGGAUAACGCAGCGAAAGCUGCGCUAAUACCGCAUACGAUCUAUGGAUGAAAGCGGGGGACCGUAAGGCCUCGCGCGAUUGGAGCGGCCGAUAUCAGAUUAGGUAGUUGGUGGGGUAAAGGCUCACCAAGCCGACGAUCUGUAGCUGGUCUGAGAGGACGACCAGCCACACUGGGACUGAGACACGGCCCAGACUCCUACGGGAGGCAGCAGUGGGGAAUUUUGGACAAUGGGCGCAAGCCUGAUCCAGCAAUGCCGCGUGCAGGAAGAAGGCCUUCGGGUUGUAAACUGCUUUUGUACGGAACGAAACGGUCCUGGUUAA
rnacentral:rRNA from 1 species